rnacentral:tRNA from 1 species
GCGCCCGUGGCCUAAUGGAUAAGGCGUUUGACUUCUAAUCAAACGAUUGUGGUUCGAGUGCCACCGGGCGUG